rnacentral:rRNA from 1 species
UACGGGGGGGGCAAGCGUUGUUCGGAAUUACUGGGCGUAAAGGGCUCGUAGGCGGCCAACUAAGUCGGAUGUGAAAUCCCCAGGCUCAACCUGGGAACUGCAUCCGAUACUGGAUGGCUUGAAUCCGGGAGAGGGAUGCAGAAUUCCGGGUGUAGCGGUGAAAUGCGUAGAUAUCCGGAGGAACACCGGUGGCGAAGGCGGCUUCCUGGACUGACAUUGACGCUGAGGCGCGAAAGCUAGGGGAGCAAACGGG